GCCUACGGGACGCAGCAGUGAGGAAUAUUGGUCAAUGGGCGGAAGCCUGAACCAGCCAAGUCGCGUGAGGGAAUAAGGCCCUACGGGUCGUAAACCUCUUUUGCCGGGGAGCAAGGGCGGGGACGUGUCCCGGCCCGGAGAGUACCCGGAGAAAAAGCAUCGGCUAACUCCGUGCCAGCAGCCGCGGUAAUACGGAGGAUGCGAGCGUUAUCCGGAUUUAUUGGGUUUAAAGGGUGCGUAGGCGGGCUUUUAAGUCAGCGGUAAAAAUUCGGGGCUCAACCCCGGCCGGUCGUUGAAACUGGGGG
rnacentral:rRNA from 1 species